GGGGGGGGGGGGGGGGGGGGCGGGGGGGUGGGGGGCGGGCGGGCAGGCGGGGAGGGGGCGCGGGUGACGGUGGCGGCGGGCGGGUGAGUGGGACGUGGAGGACCUACCUCUAAGACGGGGAGAAUUUCGGGGGACCGGCGCUAAUACCGGAUAAUAUAUUGAACCGCAUGGUUCAAGAGUGAAUGACGGGUUUGCCGUCACUUAGAGCGGGUUCCGCGCCGCAUUCGCUAGUUGGUAAGGUAACGGCUUACCAAGGCAACGAUGCGUAGCCGACCUGAGAGGGUGAUCGGCCACACUGGAACUGAGACACGGUCCAGACUCCUACGGGAGGCAGCAGUAGGGAAUCUUCCGCAAUGGGCGAAAGCCUGACGGAGCAACGCCGCGUGAGUGAUGAAGGUCUUCGGAUCGUAAAACUCUGUUAUUAGGGAAGAACAAAUGUGUAAGUAACUAUGCACGUCUUGACGGUACCUAAUCAGAAAGCCACGGCUAACUACGUG
rnacentral:rRNA from 1 species